UACAUUGAUCAGGAAGAGUUGAA
rnacentral:piRNA from 1 species